UCCCUUAUCUCUCUCGUCUGCUCCAUCUCUCCUGCUCCCCUCCUUCGUCUCUCCCGCAUGCACGCUCCAGCUCGCCAUCAACAUCGCCGCUUCUAUCCUCUUCGAUUUCUCAGCCCAGAUUCAAUCUGCUGCACAUCGUGCGUCCUUCCCACCUCGUUUCCGGCCACAACAUCCACCACACGGCCCAGAUCCAAACCUAAACCCAUGCGUGAUCUGCUCCAUGAUGCAGCCACCAGUGAGCUCGCCUGUGCGACAUCCCUACAGCAGGUGCUUGUGCCCGCCAUCUCCAUCAUACAUCACAGGUUGGACGGAGGCUGUAGGUACCUAUAGGUCGUCGACGCCAGCCAGGUGGGAUGCUAACCAGCAGGCAUGAGGAGCUCAAGGAUAGGGGGGCGCCAGCAGCAUGCAGACGAGUCACGAUGACAAGUAGAAGAAUCGGCAAUGGAAACUGAUGGCAAUGGCGACGAAAACUUUUGGCACGAUGAUAACUUAACUCAUGAUAAUGGUCGAUGGGCCUGCUUGCUUCCCAACACAUGGAAUAACAAGCGAUGCGGUUGCAUCGUCAAGCUCCGUGAAGCAAAUAGGAAGCAUAUAUGUAGCUUGGAAAUAGGAAACGACAUGGGCGGACGCUUGUCAAUGUUUAUGAAAGCAAACAAGAACCUAUUAGGAAGCAUAUGUGGCACAAUCAAUCAAAAGAAAUAUUUGUGAUUACCGAUCUCAUAAAAAAGGUUAUCCUUA